AGAGUUUGAUCCUGGCUCAGAACGAACGCUGGCGGCAGGCCUAACACAUGCAAGUCGAGCGAGACCUUCGGGUCUAGCGGCGGACGGGUUAGUAACGCGUGGGAACGUGCCCUUUACUACGGAAUAGUCCCGGGAAACUGGGUUUAAUACCGUAUACGCCCUUCGGGGGAAAGAUUUAUCGGUAAAGGAUCGGCCCGCGUUAGAUUAGAUAGUUGGUGGGGUAAUGGCCUACCAAGUCUACGAUCUAUAGCUGGUUUGAGAGGAUGAUCAGCAACACUGGGACUGAGACACGGCCCAGACUCCUACGGGAGGCAGCAGUGGGGAAUCUUGGACAAUGGGCGCAAGCCUGAUCCAGCCAUGCCGCGUGAGUGACGAAGGCCUUAGGGUCGUAAAGCUCUUUCGCCAGGGAUGAUAAUGACAGUACCUGGUAAAGAAACCCCGGCUAACUCCGUGCCAGCAGCCGCGGUAAUACGGAGGGGGUUAGCGUUGUUCGGAAUUACUGGGCGUAAAGCGCACGUAGGCGGACUGGAAAGUUGGGGGUGAAAUCCCGGGGCUCAACCUCGGAACUGCCUCCAAAACUACUAGUCUAGAGUUCGAGAGAGGUGAGUGGAAUUCCGAGUGUAGAGGUGAAAUUCGUAGAUAUUCGGAGGAACACCAGUGGCGAAGGCGGCUCACUGGCUCGAUACUGACGCUGAGGUGCGAAAGUGUGGGGAGCAAACAGGAUUAGAUACCCUGGUAGUCCACACCGUAACGAUGAAUGCCAGUCGUCAGCAAGCAUGCUUGUUGGUGACACACCUAACGGAUUAAGCAUUCCGCCUGGGGAGUACGGUCGCAAGAUUAAAACUCAAAGG
rnacentral:rRNA from 1 species